CCCUUAGAUGUUCUGGGCUGCACGCGCGCUACACUGAUGCGAUCAACAAGUUUUUCCUAUGUCGAUAGACACGGGUAAUCUUUUGAACUCGCAUCAUGAUGGGGAUAGAUUAUUGUAAUUAUUAAUCUUCAACGAGGAAUUCCUAGUAGGUGCAAAUCAUCAGUUUGCAUCGAUUACGUCCCUGCCCUUUGUACACACCGCCCGUCGCUGCUACCGAUUGGUUGAUCUGGUGAAUUAUUCGGACUGCCGGCUGAAGGGGUUUCCUCAUCUGCCAGCGGAAAGUCUUGUUAACCCUAUCAACUAGAGGAAGCAGAAGUCGUAACA
rnacentral:rRNA from 1 species